AUGUAGCCGCUUCUCCGUAGCCAACAUGAAAACUUACUCAAAUGUUAUUCAUCGCCAUAAUCAAGAUGAUUGUGCUCGGAAUUUAAUACAUACAAAAUUACCUCUAUCAAGCGUGUAUGUUUGACCAGCGAACCGACAGUAAUGAAUAGAAACGUACGUUUGAUGGUACUGUAAAUGGGAUGUCUUCCAUAAUAAUAUUUUCACUGUAUUCCCAUCGAAUCAACGGCUUAUAUUUUACAUUUACGUAUAAAAAAUGUUUUAUCCUCGAAAAUCUUACUUUUUCUUUCGACGAUAAUCGUUACCGAUAGAAGAAUGGCACGGCAAUUAAACUCCAGUCUCGUAACGGAUAACUACAAUUACCAACGAAUUUAAACGAUAAUAAUUGUCCAGCGAACAAGGACUUUUUCAAUGGCAUACUUUUGUAUUGUUAAAAAAAGAGGGAACAGGUAUCUGAAAACAUCAGAAAAGACCAGUGAAGAGCGCUUUACGGGAACGAUUAACGAUUCUGGCUCAACGACCUGUAGCGCCGUGCAUUGUUGCUCGGAAUUACCGACCGCCAAUUGCAAAGUCCGUUCCUAACUGACAAUUGCUCCACUUGCUUUAAACCAUUAGUACUCGCCAGUUAUCUUGUUGGCAAUACACUACAAUGAACAUCGUCGUCGUCAUAGUUGGCUAAAGUAAAUCUCAUCGUCUCUCGGUGGCGAUGAUUUCUCUCCCUUUCUCCAACAAUGCAUUCAUUUGUAAUUUGUAUAUACAUGUAUAUAAUAGCUGAAUACUUAAUCAAAUAAGGAAAUUGGUAAUUUUACUAAGAUUUCAGUAUUAUAUGACUAUGCUCGUGUUGCAUCACAGAUACGCGCAUGCUGGAGAUACGGUUAUACAGAUAUAGAGUAACUAUUGAAGUAGGUUACCGAACUGUAAGUUAUCGAACUUUAUUCAAAUUUAAACGCCGAACGUUUUGUUUGAAGACGACGAAAUCCCGUAUUUGCAGACAGGGGGAAGUUUCUUUUAGAAUGUCGAGAAGGAUGUUCCUGCUCGUGGUGAAAUUUCGCGAGAAUGCCUGCGGAAAUAAGCUUACAAACUUACUUUGUAUAUUAAAUAUAAGGAAUAAAAGAACCAACCGAUCAGAUUAGAA